rnacentral:rRNA from 1 species
GACGAACGCUGGCGGCGUGCUUAACACAUGCAAGUCGUACGGUAAGGCCCUUUCGGGGGUACACGAGUGGCGAACGGGUGAGUAACACGUGAGUAACCUGCCCACAACUUUGGGAUAACGCUAGGAAACUGGUGCUAAUACUGGAUAUGUGCUCCUGCUGCAUGGUGGGGGUUGGAAAGCUCCGGGGGUUGUGGAUGGACUCGCGGCCUAUCAGCUUGUUGGUGGGGUAGUGGCCUACCAAGGCGGCGACGGGUAGCCGGCCUGAGAGGGUGACCGGCCACAUUGGGACUGAGAUACGGCCCAGACUCCUACGGGAGGCAGCAGUGGGGAAUAUUGCACAAUGGGCGCAAGCCUGAUGCAGCAACGCCGCGUGCGGGAUGACGGCCUUCGGGUUGUAAACCGCUUUCAGCAGGGACGAAGCUUUUUGUGACGGUACCUGCAGAAGAAGCACCGGCUAACUACGUG